rnacentral:rRNA from 1 species
UAGGGAAUCUUCGGCAAUGGACGAAAGUCUGACCGAGCAACGCCGCGUGAGUGAAGAAGGUUUUCGGAUCGUAAAACUCUGUUGCUAGAGAAGAACAAGGACGUUAGUAACUGAACGUCCCCUGACGGUAUCUAACCAGAAAGCCACGGCUAACUACGUGCCAGCAGCCGCGGUAAUACGUAGGUGGCAAGCGUUGUCCGGAUUUAUUGGGCGUAAAGCGAGCGCAGGCGGUUUCUUAAGUCUGAUGUGAAAGCCCCCGGCUCAACCGGGGAGGGUCAUUGGAAACUGGGAGACUUGAGUGCAGAAGAGGAGAGUGGAAUUCCAUGUGUAGCGGUGAAAUGCGUAGAUAUAUGGUGGAACACCAGUGGCGAAGGCGGCUCUCUGGUCUGUAACUGACGCUGAGGCUCGAAAGCGUGGGGAGCAAACAGG